GACAGAGGUGCCGAGCGUUAGGCGGAAUCACUGGGCUUAAAGCGUGUGUAGGCGGGCCGUUAAGUGUCUUGUGAAAUCCCCCGGCUCAACCGGGGAAUUGCUGGGUAUACUGGGCGUCUUGGGCCAACUAGGGGUCGCUGGAACAAAUGGUGGAGCGGUGAAAUGCGUAGAUAUCAUUUGGAACGCCAAGGGCGAAAGCAAGCGACUGGGGUUGUGCCGACGCUGAGACACGAAAGCCAGGGGAGCGAACGGG
rnacentral:rRNA from 1 species